rnacentral:rRNA from 1 species
GCCGCGUGCAGUAGACGGUCUUCGGGUUGUAAACUUCUUUUAUGAGGGACAGAAGAAGGCGGCGCCUGCUCAUGAAUAGCCCGCUGCUAACGUUGCCGCCCGCCGCCGUGAUGAUCCAGCCGCCGCGGUAAU